rnacentral:rRNA from 1 species
GAUGAACGCUGGCGGCGUGCCUAAUACAUGCAAGUCGAGCGAACAGACGAGGUGCUUGCUCCUCUGAAGUUAGCGACGGACGGGUGAGUAACACGUGGGUAACCAACCUAUGAGACUGGGACAACUUAGGGAGACCUGAGACAAUACCGGAUAAUAUAGUGAACCACAUGGAUCAUUAGCGAAAGGCGGCUUUGCUGUAACUUACACAUCUAUCCCCGGCGCAUUAGCUAGUUGGUAAGGUAACGGCUUACCAAGGCAACGAUGCGUAGCCGACCUGAGAGGGUGAUCGGCCACACUGGGACUGAGACACGGUCCAGACUCCUACGGGAGGCAGCAGUAGGGAAUCUUCCGCAAUGGGCGAAAGCCUGAUGGAGCAACGCCGCGUGAGUGAUGAAGGUCUUCGGAUCGUAAAACUCUGUUGUUAGGGAAGAACAAGUGUGUGAGUAACUGUGCACGUCUUGACGGUACCUAAUCAGAAAGCCACGGCUAACUACGUG